UACGGAGGGUGCAAGCGUUAUCCGGAUUCACUGGGUUUAAAGGGUGCGUAGGUGGGUCUGUAAGUCAGUGGUGAAAUCUUCGAGCUUAACUCGGAAACUGCCCAUUGAUACUAUAGGUCUUGAAUUAUCUGGAGGUAAGCGGAAUAUGUCAUGUAGCGGUGAAAUGCUUAGAUAUGACAUAGAACACCAAUUGCGAAGGCAGCUUACUACGGAUCGAUUGACACUGAGGCACGAAAGCGUGGGGAUCAAACAGG
rnacentral:rRNA from 1 species